AGGCCGGCGGGGGCGGACCGCGCGGGCAUCCUCUCCAGCCGAGGCCGCGGCCGGAGCUUGGCUGGGGCGCAGGAGAGGCAGGUACCAGCGCUGUCUGCGCAGCCCCAGGCGCUAGAGCUGCGCUCAAGGAAGGAAGGACGGUUCCCGGGGGAGCCAGGGACCGAGGCGUCCGAGCAGGCGGGAUUUGCGCCUGGCGGGGCACGGUCCGAAGUCCGCGCUAUGGGAGAAGAGAAAUACUUGCCUGAGCUGAUGGCAGAGAAGGAUAGCCUGGAUCCAUCUUUUGUGCACGCGUCGCGCCUUCUGGCGGAAGAACAGAGUACUACAGCUAAACAGAAGACCAUUAAGAGGCAGCAUGUGGAAAUUGAGAAAUUUCAAGGUUCAGAUGGGAAAAAGGAAGACGAAGAAAAGAAAUAUCUCGAUGUCAUCAGCAACAAAAACAUAAAGCUUUCUGAAAGAGUAUUGAUUCCUGUGAAACAGUAUCCGAAGUUCAAUUUUGUGGGGAAAUUGCUUGGACCAAGAGGAAAUUCCUUGAAGAGGCUACAAGAAGAAACAGGUGCUAAAAUGUCUAUCCUGGGCAAAGGAUCGAUGCGAGAUAAGGCAAAGGAAGAAGAGCUGAGGAAGAGCGGGGAGGCCAAGUAUGCCCACCUGAGUGAUGAGCUGCAUGUAUUAAUUGAAGUGUUUGCUCCACCCGGGGAAGCUUAUUCACGGAUGAGUCAUGCUUUGGAAGAGAUUAAAAAAUUCCUGGUUCCUGACUACAAUGAUGAAAUCCGUCAAGAGCAACUCCGGGAGUUGUCUUACUUGAAUGGCUCAGAAGAGUCUGGCCGGGGGCGAGGUAUUAGAGGCAGAGGAAUCAGAAUAACUCCCACAGCUCCAUCAAGGGGCCGUGGGGGUGCUGUUCCGCCACCACCACCACCACCAGGACGAGGUGUUCUUACCCCUCGGGGGACUACUGUGACCCGCGGAGCUCUUCCAGUGCCCCCAAUAGCAAGAGGUGUCCCGACCCCUCGAGCCAGGGGGACGGCAGCAGUACCAGGAUACAGAGCACCCCCACCCCCAGCUCAUGAGGCUUAUGAAGAAUAUGGGUAUGAUGAUGGCUAUGGGGGUGAAUAUGAUGACCAGACCUAUGAGGCUUAUGAUAAUAGCUAUGUGACCCCGACACAAAGUGUGCCUGAAUACUAUGACUAUGGUCAUGGAGUAAAUGAGGAUACCUAUGACAGCUACGCACCAGAAGAAUGGGCCACAACUCGCUCCAGCCUGAAGGCACCACCACCAAGGUCAGCCAGAGGGGGAUACAGGGAACACCCCUAUGGUAGAUAUUGAAGGUCCUCUUCAUCUGUGACCUCCUCAAAGACAAUUCAUAGCCUGUGGUCUCCACAUAAACAGCAACAAGACAAGUCCGCACAAUGAGCACAUAAAUGGUAGCAGAUAUGCUGGACUAAAGGGGAUGCAGGAUUCCUUACCUUUGUAUGGAUGAGUAGUAUUCUGCUAUGCGUAUGGACUACAUUUACUUUCUGUGUUCAUCAGUUGAUGGCCAUUUUGAUAUUUCCAUGUCUUGACUACUAUGAAUAGAGCUACAGUGAACAUAGAAAUGCAGACUAAAGAAGUAAAUUUGGUCUAUGGCGGAAAAGGAAGCCUCACAAUAGAGAUGAGAGUUGGAUGGAUCAUCAGAUAUGGAGAAAAAAGCAUCCCUCCUAUAUAUCACAGGAGCUGAUUUCUCCUAUCAAGAGUUGGAGUUUCCUCAAAUAAAUCACAAAGGAUAAAAAGGCUCCUAGACUUCUCUAUAGGCAAACAGCAGAGCUAGGAUGCAUAGCUGCUGCACUAUUUUCUACUCCUAAGAAAAAGUGAUGACUCAUCCACUCUUCAUUCACUGCUGUCCUAAUUACCACGUGCAGGUCAUUAUACUAGACAAUAAGAGGGAAUUGCAGAUGUCUGUCAAUCAGAUCCAUACCUCCAAGACUGCAGAAUCUAGAGAAAAAGCAAAUAAAGCUCAAAAUGCACAGAGAACAAUACUGAUUUUCAUUAUUGAAUUAUUUAAAUGGGGACAGAGUUGUCAAAUUCAUCAAAGAAAUUAUAUGUUGACUGUGACACAGCUUUAUUGAGACUGCUGAAAGUCCCAUGGGAAAACUCCCUUCAGCUUGCACUACUGGAUUAGAAGGAAAUUUCUAAAUGAAACUUGCUAAUGAAGUCAACACACUGCUGAGGAAAUCGUGAGAAAUUCAGAGUGUUUGGCGACUGAUACAACUAACUUGAAAUAAAGCAUUUUUUGGAGUUGAGAAUAGUGAAAAGGUGGCAAACCCCAAAUCUGUAAGGAAAAUAGUUAAAUACAAGUUGUGUUCAGGGGCCAUGUAGCAUCUGGUGUUUGGGAUACAGUUAAUAAAAAUGUAUAAGGAAUAAUGCAAACCUUGGCACUAUAAAAAGCAAUCAAAUUGUUGAGAUAUUUAAAUAGAAGGUUUUUUUUUUUCAUUUUGUAGACAUGCUAUUUGAAUGUACAAAUGGAAUUAAUAAAACAUGAUUUUGGAAA